AGAGUUUGAUCCUGGCUCAGGACGAACGCUGGCGGCGCGCCUAACACAUGCAAGUCGAACGAGCGAGAGAGAGCUUGCUUUCUCAAGCGAGUGGCGAACGGGUGAGUAACGCGUGAGGAACCUGCCUCAAAGAGGGGGACAACAGUUGGAAACGACUGCUAAUACCGCAUAAGCGCACAGCUUCGCAUGAAGCAGUGUGAAAAACUCCGGUGGUACAAGAUGGACCCGCGUCUGAUUAGCUGGUUGGUGAGGUAACGGCCACCAAGGCGACGAUCAGUAGCCGGCCUGAGAGGGUGAACGGCCACAUUGGGACUGAGACACGGCCCAAACUCCUACGGGAGGCA
rnacentral:rRNA from 1 species